rnacentral:rRNA from 1 species
AUUGAACGCUGGCGGCAGGCUUAACACAUGCAAGUCGAGCGGGGUGAUGGUGCUUGCACUAUCACUUAGCGGCGGACGGGUGAGUAAUGCUUAGGAAUCUGCCUAUUAGUGGGGGACAACAUCUCGAAAGGGAUGCUAAUACCGCAUACGUCCUACGGGAGAAAGCAGUGGAUCACUUGUGACCUUGCGCUAAUAGAUGAGCCUAAGUCGGAUUGGCUAGUUGGUGGGGUAAAGGCCUACCAAGGCGACGAUCUGUAGCGGGUCUGAGAGGAUGAUCCGCCACACUGGGACUGAGACACGGCCCAGACUCCUACGGGAGGCAGCAGUGGGGAAUAUUGGACAAUGGGGGGAACCCUGAUCCAGCCAUGCCGCGUGUGUGAAUAAGGUCUUAUGGUUGUAAAGCACUUUAAGCGAGGAGGAGGCUCUUUUGGUUAAUACCCAAGAUGUGUGGACGUUACUCGCAGAAUAAGCACCGGCUAACUCUGUGCCAGCCGCCGCGGUAA